rnacentral:rRNA from 1 species
UACGUAGGGGGCAAGCGUUGUCCGGAAUCAUUGGGCGUAAAGAGCGCGUAGGCGGUCCGGUAAGUCCGCUCUGAAAGUCCGGGGCUCAACCCCGGGAGGCGGGCGGAUACUGUCGGGCUAGAGUCCGGAAGAGGCGAGUGGAAUUCCUGGUGUAGCGGUGAAAUGCGCAGAUAUCAGGAGGAACACCAAUGGCGAAGGCAGCUCGCUGGGACGGUACUGACGCUGAGGCGCGAAAGCGUGGGGGAGUAAACAGG